rnacentral:rRNA from 1 species
UAGGGAAUCUUCGGCAAUGGACGGAAGUCUGACCGAGCAACGCCGCGUGAGUGAAGAAGGUUUUCGGAUCGUAAAGCUCUGUUGUAAGAGAAGAACGAGUGUGAGAGUGGAAAGUUCACACUGUGACGGUAUCUUACCAGAAAGGGACGGCUAACUACGUGCCAGCAGCCGCGGUAAUACGUAGGUCCCGAGCGUUGUCCGGAUUUAUUGGGCGUAAAGCGAGCGCAGGCGGUUAGAUAAGUCUGAAGUUAAAGGCUGUGGCUUAACCAUAGUACGCUUUGGAAACUGUUUAACUUGAGUGCAAGAGGGGAGAGUGGAAUUCCAUGUGUAGCGGUGAAAUGCGUAGAUAUAUGGAGGAACACCGGUGGCGAAAGCGGCUCUCUGGCUUGUAACUGACGCUGAGGCUCGAAAGCGUGGGGAGCAAACAGGAUUAGAUACCCUGGUAGUCCACGCCGUAAACGAUGAGUGCUAGGUGUUAGACCCUUUCCGGGGUUUAGUGCCGCAGCUAACGCAUUAAGCACUCCGCCUGGGGAGUACGACCGCAAGGUGUG